rnacentral:rRNA from 1 species
AUGCUACAGGAGGCGCCGCAAUGUGAUGCAACCGACAGUAACGGGAGCUACAACUGUCAGAUGGUGGAUCUGCAUUCAGACGGCCAGCAGCGGCGGUUGCCGACUGCAUGUGGAGACGAGCAUGGUGAGGCGGAAAGCUGUGACGGGCAAAGAUUUUUGCUGGAUCUAGCGUCAUGUUUUGUUGGGACCGGCUGGGCGAUGUGCUACGAUGGUGUUGAAGAUUGCUACGGCGACGACGGGACUCGUCAGCUGGGAGGAGCUGCAACUGUUGGCAGGCCGGACAAUGAGUCGUGGUGCUGCAAGCGGCCGACGAGGGGGGCAUGCGCCAUCGUUGCUAUGACGAGCGACGGAGCGAGCACCGAGUGGUGCGAGUACAUUUACCCCGCCAGUCACAUUAUGCAGCGGGAGCCUAUGUUCGUGCCAUUGGCGAUGACUCUGUCGCGCCCACAUCUGAAGCUGCACAUGUUGUUCACUGUCAUUAUCACUUGUGCGCUGGCCGGCGACGUGGUCACGGUAACUAUCUUCCGCACCUUGGCCGUCGUCGAGGAGCACAAAGACGCGGGGCGCAAAACGCAUUUAAGAGAUCCCAGCCCUCGCCGCCGCCGCCGCCGAGUAGGUUGCUGCACGCUGACGGCCACGCGCGGCGGGAGAGGUCGAGGAGAUACGGAGGUCGCCGCGUGUCUCGAAGAGGAGGCCGCGUGUCUCGAAGAGGAGGCCGCCGUCGCAACUCCGGCCGUCUGCAAUUACCCUCGACGGCGGGGAGCCGCCGGCACGGGUUGCGACCAGUGUUUUCUUAGAAUUCCGAGUUUCCUAAACCAUUUCCAUAUUCCAGAUUUUUCAAGACUUGUUGGAAUCCCUAUGACUGCAGUUCACCCGCCCUGCCACUCCCUUUACUGCGCCAGAGCUCAUGUCUACGCCGCCAUAAGACCUUGCAACGGGUUUAUCCGGACAUGUGGAGUCAUCAUAAGAGCUCAUGUCAGAUGCUACCCCUGCAGGAUCGACCGGGCCGAUGCUAAUCUAGACGAAACACAAGAAAUAAUCAAAGGGACAAGGGAUGAGAUUGGAACAUUCCAGCUGCAUAAAUAUUUCCCUUUCUUGUACUUUUGGAUGGCGAAACGAAACAAAGAAGAUUGUUCUUGUACCAAGCAAAUGCAGACCAAAUCAUUUCUUAUAAUUAGAAGAAAUCUUGCUUGGUAUCAAUCCCCUUGCCCCUCAUUCUUUGAGAAACGGAAGGUCGCAGUGAUCCAUGUGGAUCUGAGCGCCUUUCAGAAGGAGCUCCAAGAAGUCAGCCGUACGGUUGAAAUAUGGGUGUCAAGGCUGUCUGAUAUCGAGGACACUCAGGAUCGUACUGAGCGUGCAACAGAAGCCUUGGUUGGGUUCAGCCAACAACUAGAACAUGGUGGCCAGAAUCCCAAUAUUCGCCAGGCAAGUUGGCGGCCCAGCUUAAGCAAUUCCUUAGUGGCAUGUUGCUUACAUGAUUCGCUACUGGUUCUGCAUCAACUACCGUUACUUCUAGAGUCAUACUCUGAAGAGAUAUUUUCAAUUUUGAGGUCUCAUCAUUCCUUCCAGCUCUAG